rnacentral:rRNA from 1 species
GAUGAACGCUGGCGGCGUGCCUAAUACAUGCGAGUCGAGCGAACAGACGAGGAGCUUGCUCCUCUGACGUUAGCGGCGGACGGGUGAGUAACACGUGGAUAACCUACCUAUAAGACUGGGAUAACUUCGGGAAACCGGAGCUAAUACCGGAUAAUAUAUUGAACAGCAUGGUUCAAUAGUGAAAGACGGUUUUGCUGUCACUUAUAGAUGGAUCCGCGCCGCAUUAGCUAGUUGGUAAGGUAACGGCUUACCAAGGCAACGAUGCGUAGCCGACCUGAGAGGGUGAUCGGCCACACUGGAACUGAGACACGGUCCAGACUCCUACGGGAGGCAGCAGUAGGGAAUCUUCCGCAAUGGGCGAAAGCCUGACGGAGCGACGCCGCGUGAGUGAUGAAGGUCUUCGGAUCGUAAAACUCUGUUAUUAGGGAAGAACAAAUGUGUAAGUAACUAUGCACGUCUUGACGGUACCUAAUCAGAAAGCCACGGCUAACUACGUG